UACGGAGGGUGCAAACGUUGCUCGGAAUCAUUGGGCGUAAAGCGCACGUAGGCGGCCUGAUAAGUCGGGUGUGAAAGCCCUGGGCUCAACCCAGGAAGUGCACUCGAAACUGUCAGGCUUGAAUAUGGAAGAGGGUCGCGGAAUUCCCGGUGUAGAGGUGAAAUUCGUAGAUAUCGGAGGAACACCAGUGGCGAAGGCGGCGACCUGGGCCAAUAUUGACGCUGAGGUGCGAAGCGUGGGGAGCAAACAGG
rnacentral:rRNA from 1 species